AUUUAAUCAGGCAUCACAAUAGACAGCUAGUUUGGAACUUUAGAAAUGAAGUGAGAUCAUAUAGUCAUAACUGAAAGUCAGAGGAGUGUGGUGGCCGCCAGUGUCUCCGAGGGAAGCCACGGAGGAGUCAAGAAAGUCGCAGCCGCCUCUUUGACAGCUGCAGGAAGAACGACACGAGCUCUGCUCAUGUGUAAGUGUGCGGGAUGAAGUCAGCAUACUUUAUAAAAAUGUCCACAUGGCUGUGGAGCAUUUAAAAGGAUCAGAAUUAUGUGUUGAAGAGUGGAACACCGCCAGGUCUUGCAAAGAAUUGACUGUGCAACUUCAGGAGGAGCAACAUGGCAUUCUGUUAAGGCAGGGGUGGGCAAUUCAUUUUUAUGAGCAACUCGAGCACUGCUGGAGGGCCUCAUCGACAAUAUUUCAAUAAAAAUUUUCCUCAAUAUUAUUUUUUUAUAUACUGUAAGACAGGUGUCACCAACGCGGUGCCCGUGGGCACCAGGUGGCCCUUAAGGACCAGAUGAGUUGCCCGCUGGCCUGUUCUAAAUAUAGCUCAAAUAGCAGCACUUACCAGUGAACUGCCUUUAUUUUUUCAAUUUUAUUUAUUUACUAGCAAGCUGGUCUCACUUUGCUCUACAUUUUUAAUUCUAAGAUAGACAAAACUCAAAUAGAAUUUGAAAAUCCAAGAAAAUAUUUUAAAGACGUGGUCUUCACUUGUUUAAAUAAAUUCAUUAAUUUUUUUUAC